UACGUAGGUGACCAGCGUUGUCCGGAUUUACUGGGCGUAAAGAGCGCGCAGGCGGUCGUUCAAGUCGAGUGUGAAAGCCCCCGGCUCAACUGGGGAGGGUCAUUCGAUACUGAUCGACUGGAAGGCAGGAGAGGGAAGCGGAAUUCCCGGUGUAGUGGUGAAAUGCGUAGAUAUCGGGAGGAACACCUAUGGCGAAGGCAGCUCGCUGGGACGUUACUGACGCUGAGACGCGAAAGCGUGGGGAGCAAACAGG
rnacentral:rRNA from 1 species